AUGGUUUAGUAGGUGGGACUUAUUCUGUCUCUUUAAAGGCAGAAAAUAUUCAAAAGGCUAUGACUGUGCCUCUUAUUUUUAUUGUCUACAGACAGAACAGAGCCUGUAGACCUGCCAUUCACACCGGCAUCAGUAUUCAAACUGGAUCACCAUGCAGAACCAAGUGGCUAUUGUCUUCAUGCAGAUCAUGUGUUUCUAUUAUGUCAACUGCAAAGAAGAUGUUACCCAGUUCCCUCAUUCAGCUUCUGUAGAGGCAGGAGGCACUUUUAAUAUGACAUGUGAAUAUACAACUACUUUUUAUGGCCUCCAGUUUUACAAGCAAGGGACUGGGGAGAAACUCCAGCAUCUAACAAUCCUGAGAAAGGAUGAAGUGGUUAAAGAAGACAGAUUUGUAUUUCGGCUGCAGAAAGAGAAGCAGCUUAGCACUGUGUCUAUCAAACAGGUGGAAGUAUCAGACUCAGCCAUCUACUGGUGUGCUCUGCAGGCACAGUGCUAGAAAGCAGCUCCUUGCUGAAUAAAAACUGCUCUGCUAGCCAACCUUCAGAUGUACAUUUUAUUUCCACAGCUGUGAAAAAAGACAAAAUUGUCAAAGAGACAAACAAGUCGCCAUAAGAAAAAACACCUAUUGACAU